UACGGGGGGGGCAAGCGUUGUUCGGAAUUACUGGGCGUAAAGGGCGCGUAGGCGGCCUUCUAAGUCAGACGUGAAAUCCCCAGGCCCAACCUGGGAACUGCGUCCGAUACUGGAUGGCUUGAAUCCGGGAGAGGGAUGCAGAAUUCCAGGUGUAGCGGUGAAAUGCGUAGAUAUCUGGAGGAAUACCGGUGGCGAAGGCGGCAUCCUGGACCGGCAUUGACGCUGAGGAGCGAAAGCCAGGGGAGCAAACGGG
rnacentral:rRNA from 1 species